UGAGUACGAGCUGCUACGGCAGCGAAGUGGGUGACGUCAAGCUUCCAAGAAAAGCCCUACACCCGUUAAGGCAUGAUGGCCUGUACCCGAAACCGACACAGGUGGGGUGGUAGAGAAUACCGAGGGGCGCGAGGUAACUCUCUCUAAGGAACUCGGCAAAAUGGCCCCGUAACUUCGGGAGAAGGGGUGCCACCGCAAGGUGGUCGCAGUGAAGAGGCCCAGGCGACUGUUUACCAAAAACACAGGUCUCCGCUAAGUCGCAAGACGAUGUAUGGGGGCUGACGACUGCCCAGUGCCGGAAGGUUAAGGAAGCUGGUCAGCGCAAGCGAAGCUGGCGACUGAAGCCCCGGUGAACGGCGGCCGUAACUAUAACGGUCCUAAGGUAGCGAAAUUCCUUGUCGGGUAAGUUCCGACCCGCACGAAAGGCGUAACGAUCUGGGCGCUGUCUCGGAGAGAGGCUCGGCGAAAUAGAAUUGUCUGUGAAGAUGCGGACUACGUGCACCCGGACAGAAAGACCCUAUGAAGCUUUACUGUAGCUUGGUAUUGUGCCCGGGCUCUGAAUGCGCAGGAUAGGUGGGAGGCUUUGAUCCAUUGCUUGUGGGUGAUGGUGAGCCAACGGUGAGAUACCACUCUUUCAGAGCUAGGGUUCUAACGGUCACUCGUUAUCCGGGGACCGGACAGUAUCAGGUGGGCAGUUUGACUGGGGCGGUCGCCUCCUAAAAGGUAACGGAGGCGCGCAAAGGUUCCCUCAGGCUGGUUGGAAAUCAGCCGAUGAGUGUAAAGGCAGAAGGGAGCUUGACUGUGAGACCUACAAGUCGAACAGGGACGAAAGUCGGCCUUAGUGAUCCGACGGUUCUGAGUGGAAGGGCCGUCGCUCAACGGAUAAAAGUUACUCUAGGAUAACAGGCUGAUCUCCCCCAAGAGUUCACAUCAACGGGGAGGUUUGGCACCUCGAUGUCGGCUCAUCGCAACCUGGGGCUGAAGUCGGUCCCAAGGGUUGGGCUGUUCGCCCAUUAAAGCGGUACGCGAGCUGGGUUCAGAACGUCGUGAGACAGUUCGAUCCAUAUCCGGUGCAUGCGCAGGAAUAUUGAGAGGAUUUCUCCCUAGUACGAGAGGACCGGGAGGAACGCACCUCUGGUGUACCAGUUAUCGUGCCAACGGUAAACGCUGGGUAGCCAUGUGCGGAGUGGAUAACCGCUGAAAGCAUCUAAGUGGGAAGCCCACCUCAAGAUGAGUAUUCCCAUGGCGUUAGCCAGUAAGGUCACGGGCAGAACACCCGUUGAUAGGCUCUACGUGGAAGCCGGGUAACCGGUGAAGCGGAGGAGUACUAAUAGACC
rnacentral:rRNA from 1 species